rnacentral:rRNA from 1 species
UCGAGAAUCAUUCGCAAUGGGCGAAAGCCUGACGAUGCGACGCCGUGUGAGCGAUGAAGGCCUUCGGGUUGUAAAGCUCUUUCGCCUGGGAACAAGGAAUACUAUCUAAUAAAUAGUAGACUUGAGGGUACCAGGAUAAGAAGCACCGGCUAACUCCGUGCCAGCAGCUGCGGUAAUACGGAGGGUGCGAGCAUUAAUCGGAUUUAUUGGGCGUAAAGGGCGCGUAGGCGGCUAAGAAAGUCAGAUGUGAAAUCCCGGGGCUCAACCUCGGAACUGCAUUUGAAACUUCUUAGCUAGAGGUUGGGAGGAGAGAAUGGAAUUCCACAAGUAGCGGUGAAAUGCGUAGAUAUGUGGAAGAACACCAGUGGCGAAGGCGGUUCUCUAUCUUAAUCCUGACGCUGAGGCGCGAAAGCAAGGGGAUCAAACAGGAUUAGAUACCCCCGUAGUCC